GUUAAAUUGGAUACAAUUUUUCAAUUUUUCAUUUGCUAUUUUCUUUUACGUCAAUACUUAGGACAGCGGUUAGGACAUCCUAGCUAAAAUAAUCCUCAGAUAGCUUCGAUGUGCAUGCUGAGACAUGUCGUAAGUCGGUCCCAACUUUAUCCUAAUUUCUGUCCUAAGAAUAUCUUGUAGGACCGAUCUAAGGAUAGUUUCGAUAAACAGGCCCCAGUUCUCAUAAUGUUAUUAUGUAACAAAUAUAUUUU
rnacentral:lncRNA from 1 species